AUUGAACGCUACCGGGAUGCUUUACACAUGCAAGUCGAACGGCAGCGCGGACUUCGGUCUGGCGGCGAGUGGCGAACGGGUGAGUAAUGUAUCGGAACGUGCCCAGUAGCGGGGGAUAACUACGCGAAAGCGUAGCUAAUACCGCAUACGCCCUACGGGGGAAAGCAGGGGAUCGUAAGACCUUGCACUAUUGGAGCGGCCGAUAUCGGAUUAGCUAGUUGGUGAGGUAACGGCUCACCAAGGCGACGAUCCGUAGCUGGUUUGAGAGGACGACCAGCCACACUGGGACUGAGACACGGCCCAGACUCCUACGGGAGGCAGCAGUGGGGAAUUUUGGACAAUGGGGGCAACCCUGAUCCAGCCAUCCCGCGUGUGCGAUGAAGGCCUUCGGGUUGUAAAGCACUUUUGGCAGGAAAGAAACGUCGCGGGCUAAUACCCCGUGGAACUGACGGUACCUGCAGAAUAAGCACCGGCUAACUACGUG
rnacentral:rRNA from 1 species